UACGGAGGGGGCGAGCGUUGUCCGGAUUUACUGGGCGUAAAGAGCGCGCAGGCGGUCGUGCAAGUCGCGUGUGAAAGCCCCCGGCUCAACUGGGGAGGGUCACGCGAUACUGUUCGACUCGAAGGCAGGAGAGGGAAGCAGAAUUCCCGGUGUAGUGGUGAAAUGCGUAGAUAUCGGGAGGAAUACCAGUGGCGAAGGCGGCUUCCUGGCCUGUUCUUGACGCUGAGGCGCGAAAGCUAGGGGAGCAAACGGG
rnacentral:rRNA from 1 species